ACCCCUGUAUUUGCUGACUUAAAUUUUGCUCUCCGAAGGCAGGGGUCGUGGGUUCGAAUCCCGCCUGGUGCACCA
rnacentral:tRNA from 1 species